rnacentral:rRNA from 1 species
UACGUAGGUGGCAAGCGUUGUCCGGAUUUACUGGGCGUAAAGAGCGCGCAGGCGGUCGUUCAAGUCGCGUGUGAAAGCCCCCGGCUCAACUGGGGAGGGUCACGCGAUACUGAUCGACUCGAAGGCAGGAGAGGGUAGUGGAAUUCCCGGUGUAGUGGUGAAAUGCGUAGAUAUCGGGAGGAACACCAGUAGCGAAGGCGGCACUCUGGGCCGGUACUGACGCUGAGGAGCGAAAGCGUGGGGAGCGAACAGG